ensembl:rRNA 5S_rRNA 5S ribosomal RNA
GCCUACGGCCAUACCACCCUGAAAGCGCCCGAUCUCGGAAGCUAAGCAGGGACGGGCUUGGUUAGUACCUGGAUGGGAGACCGCCUGGGAAUACCAGGUGUUGUAGGCU